AGAAGACACAGGAGUUUGUUCUGAAGGCACAGAUGUAUCGUCUGUAGAGCACAAUAAUAAACAAGUGAGUGUCCAGGAUUUGCAGUCGUUUAUUCUGACCCAAAGACUGAAAAAAGGUGUAACUACACAAUCAGCGGGUUCAAAUUACCCCUAAUGAUAACUCCAGUGCCAGGAACUUCAUGCCUCUACGAUUAAACCCUUUUGCACACCAUACACGUCCCGUCCUGUGGAGCCAGUCACGACUACGUGCAGAUACCCACAUCUACUUCUCACUGGAGCUAUGCAAGCUACGUGUCUGCAUUCUGCUCUACUCUGCCUGGACAGAACUCUGCUGCAGAUGAAUGAGGAAGAUGUCCUGCCAGGAAGGAAUGAAGAGGGAUGGCAGCGGUGUAAUUUCUAAUUAAUUAAUCCAUCAUGAUUAACUUCUGACAUUGAAGCAAUUGUGUUUAGUGUCUGCUGAGUGUCUGAUCCAAAGACAGCUGCAAUGAGCAUUGCAAGGGAGAAUUGAUCCAGAUUGGGUGCUCCACUCGAGAUGGUGCUCCAGUGUUUUUGCAGCAGGGACUUCUGUGGGUGCAUGGAGUAGCCUCCCUUCCCUCAGCCUUCUCUGUGCUGGUUUCCAGCCAGCCAGCUCCAGAGCAGGAAAACAGAUAGACAGACUAAAGUGAAACCUAGCUGUAACAACAAACUAAAAGAAGGCCUCUCCUUGCCUCUUGCUACUUGUAAAAUAUAAAAGGGUGAGCUGAAAGCAGGUGUAGCAUUACUAGAUUCAAAGAAAUAUGAACUUUAAAUCAAGUUGUUCCUCUGCAGUGAACAGUCUUUCUUGGCUGUACUCACACUGAAGUGGAUCAGGAAUUUUUCCAAUGCAUUAUAGAUUCUAUAGCAAUGUAA
rnacentral:lncRNA from 1 species